rnacentral:ncRNA from 2 species
CAUCGCUUCAGGGCGGGGUGAAAUUCCCCACCGGUGGUAAAUUCAGUAGCACUCAGUUCUAACUGAUUCAGCCCACGAGCCUAUCUUAAAUUCAUUUUUUGAUUCGCAGAUUUGGUGAAAUUCCAAAGCCGACGGUAUAGUCCGGAUGAAAGAAGACGACG